UUUCUAACAGGCCAAGCUCCAUUCUAGAUGUAUUAAAAAUUAAUUAAGUUUCUUACUUAGGAUCUCAAAACUUUAAAAAAAAAGAAAAAAAAAGUCUUUCAUCAUACCUGUAGUGGAAAUGCUAAUUCAGGGCUUGAAGCAGUGAUUGAGCACCUGAUGGGAAGGCAGGGCCAACCCAGGGGAACUCAGGUGUAUGCAGUGCACCUGAAUAACUGGAAGGGGUGGAGCCAGGAUCCACCCCUUCCCAGACCUCAUUUAAGGGCUGGCAGUGGAGGUGGGGGUUUCUUGUUGGAGAUCCCUGUGUAUGUGAGGCCUUCUAAGGGCAAGAUGAAGGAAGUUCUGGCAGCUUACCAUGCCCCUGGCUCUGCAGAGUUAAGCGAGACGUGCGCCCAUGUUCUAGCAUGCAUCACAUCGCCUCUCGGGUCUGAAGUGCCAGAAGGAUCCCAGCGCUGCAGACUGAGACGGCUCUGAGCACCUCAGUACCCCGUUUCUGACAGAACCCAGGGAUGGCAAACUUACAUACCAGUAUUACCUGUCUGGCGCAGGUUUAAUUUUAUAAAUUAAAACCAUAAACUCUAUGAGUUUCUAGACCAUAUUUGUGCUGUUGAGGAUGAUCUACUCAGAUGAACAGUUUUGCAUCCAUCGGAGAGAAAGGUUCUUCUGCUGGACCAGAAGGCAACAUUAUUGUAACUAAUACCAUUUGUAGCAUCUAGUGCAAAUAAUUGAAGAACAGGUUGCAAGAAAAUCCUCUAGGGAAUAAGACAUGCUUUGUUUUGGUCUUCAGAUUUUAAAAAAAUGUUGUUUUUUUAAAGGUAACCACUUUUACAUAACACUAUGUGUGCAGUCUAUGUGCAGCUCUUCACUGUGACUAUCUAUAUUCCAGAGAUUUUUAAUUACUUGUCAGGCACCUGAACCUUUUUUAGAUUUGUGAUGGAUCCUUAAAUUAUGUAUCCUUAAGUAUCAUGGAAAACUAGAAAGGAAAAGUUUCAGGGCUUUUAUUUGACUAAAUGUCUCCACUUAGUCCCUGUUAGUGUCUUGAAUGGUGGAGGAAAGGGUGGGAAGUAGGAAAACAAUACAAGAAAAAAACAACAAUACAUUGUGGGCUUGGUGUUUGGUUUGGCAUAUCAGAAUAUGUUUGAUCAAAUAACUAAGGAGAGAGAAACAGCUAACUUACCUGAGCCCUCACAUGAAAGGUCAGUAUUUUGGGGGGCAGUAUUUGCUAAUUUUGUCUCCAAAAUAGCUAUAGAAAAGAGGGAAUAUAUAUUAAGCCCCAACAUAUGUGAAAAGGACAUACUUGCCAUUCCUCUAUUUAUUUUUGCUCUUUCAAAAAUCAAAGUGCCAGUUAUUUGGAAUGCUGUAGUCUGUGGUCUCUUUAAAUUUGUUUGGUGAGAUCCUUUCAGCAAGAUCAUUCCCAUUACGGUGUAACUGCAUGGUGACCACAGCUUUGGGCCUGUAUAAUAAAGAUCUGAAUUCAAAUUUUUGUUUCUGAUCAUUUUCUCUACUUUUAUGUCAUAUCUGCAAAGUGUUGGAUUGGAAUCAUACUUACUGCUGAUUGCUGCUUAGAAGAUUUGGCAAAAAAAAAUUCAGAGAUGGAAGUGUUUAUAUGGUAGGACCCUGAUUCUCCUUUGUAUUGUUAUUUACACCAGGUUGAAAGGCAGAGGGAUGUUAGCAAAUCAAUAGUGAUGCUUAAAUUUGAUUUACACACGAGGCCCCAAGGCGAUGAGGAGAUCAGCCUGUUCACAUCCUGGAUUACUUGAGUACUUGACAUAUGGUGUCUAUUAAUUAGUUAGCCUGGAAGGUUAGGGGAGGGAAGAGCUGCGG
ensembl:lncRNA